rnacentral:rRNA from 1 species
AUGAGUGCCCGCGUACCACCUAAUCGUCGGACUAUCAAGUUGCCAAACGACCCUUCUGUUGAGUCUCCAGAUGGCCUUUCCGUUGGUAUGUACACACGAGGUUACUUUAGCCAAUCUAUGGGGGCCUUGCACUAUGCAUUGCCUGAGGCUGAUGGGCGUGCAAUCUGGAUAUGGAGUCUUGACGUUUCCGGGCCUGACAAGUGGAUUGUGAAGUGUCGUCUUUGUCUGGCUGAUGCAUUUGGAAGGGACGACCUUUCCCACUAUGACUCCACUCAACAGUCUUGGAAUUGUGGAUACAGGAUUGCCGCUCUUGACUUGGAGAGGGACGCCGUGGUCUUCUUUGACCAGGAUAACAAGCUUUGUUCAUACGCCAUCAGCACCGGGAAACUUCAUGAACUCAAUGACCUUGAACAAGAUCAUGAGCAUGGCUACGACAAGUUCUUUUAUUAUGUGGCAUGCUACAUGAAGCUUCCUGCAUUAGUGCAUUUACAUCAGCUACAUUCAUCGGAGAGGCCUGGUCGGCGGGUAUGGAAGUCAAAGUUGUUAGCAAUUGUUGAAUAA